GUCUUAGUGGCGUAGUGGUUAGCGCACGAGCCGCGGUUAGGGGCGAGACGUGGGUUCGUAUCCCGCCUAAGGUG
rnacentral:tRNA from 1 species